AGGACGAACGCUGGCGGCGUGCUUAACACAUGCAAGUCGAGCGAGGCCCUUCUUUCGGGAAGGUGUCCUAGCGGCGAACGGGUGAGUAACACGUGGGCAACCUGCCCUUAGCUCUGGGAUAAGCCCGAGAAAUCGGGUCUAAUACCGGAUAUGACACGGGACGGCAUCUUCUCCGUGUGGAAAGAAUUUUGGCUAAGGAUGGGCCCGCGGCCUAUCAGCUUGUUGGUGAGGUAAUGGCUCACCAAGGCGACGAC
rnacentral:rRNA from 1 species